AGCUGAUGGUGGCGCGAGUUUGAGCGCGGCGCGCGGCAGUCUUCUUUCGGCUUUCCUGGAUUCGCAGUGGCCCACCCCCGCCGGCUCCCGCCAACCUGCGGGGUCUGAGCCCGCCGGGAUGAGGACCCGCCCCUGAAGUGGGGGCUGCGCGAAGAAAAGGGAGUGCACACGCAGUUUUUUUUAAUUGCGGAGGGGAGGAAAAGCGAAAAGAACCCGCUUAGGCCAAGUAUCAGCUUUCCUGAUUAUUUGCCUAAGAAAACAGCAAGCAGCCCACUCAAGUUUUGUGGAACCAUUGUGCCACCAAGAAGUUUGCAAAUGGUUUAUUAAAUCAAGCUUUGUCUCUGAGGACAAUCUUUCCUGAUUGUGAGCUCUUCAAGGAAUAUACAAAUAAUAAUAUUAAAGCCCAUGUAAUGUAUUAAAAAUUUU